rnacentral:rRNA from 1 species
UACGUAGGGUGCAAGCGUUAAUCGGAAUUACUGGGCGUAAAGCGUGCGCAGGCGGUUAUAUAAGACAGUUGUGAAAUCCCCGGGCUCAACCUGGGAACUGCAUCUGUGACUGUAUAGCUAGAGUACGGUAGAGGGGAUGGAAUUCCGCGUGUAGCAGUGAAAUGCGUAGAUAUGCGGAGGAACACCGAUGGCGAAGGCAAUCCCCUGGACCUGUACUGACGCUCAUGCACGAAAGCGUGGGGAGCAACAGG